ACCUGAGUGGCUCAGUGGUUGAGCAUCUGCCUUUGGCUCAGAUCGUGAUCCCAGGGUCCUGGGAUCGAGUCCCACAUCAGGCU
rnacentral:tRNA from 1 species